rnacentral:rRNA from 1 species
UACAGAGGGGGCAAGCGUUGUUCGGAAUUACUGGGCGUAAAGGGCGUGUAGGCGGCCUUCUAAGUCGGACGUGAAAUCCCCGGGCUCAACCCGGGAACUGCGUCCGAUACUGGAUGGCUUGAGUUCGGGAGAGGGAUGCGGAAUUCCAGGUGUAGCGGUGAAAUGCGUAGAUAUCUGGAGGAACACCGGUGGCGAAGGCGGCAUCCUGGACCGACAUUGACGCUGAGGAGCGAAAGCUAGGGGAGCAAACGGG